AAUAAUUGUUUCUGUUGUGUGUCAUAGUGUGUUGAUAUCUCCUUGUAAUAUUCUUUUUAGAAGAGGCAUUUUUUGCAGUUAGGCAACAAAUUGAGGAUAUUUUGUGUUCUUCACAACCAUGUAAAGAUGCGCUGUAUUACCUUUACUAGAUUUCUGGGGUCAGCUAUGGUUCUUCAGUUCCCAAAUGUUGUAAUUUACCGGGUAUUCUUUGGAUAAAUUGUUGUUGAAACUAUAUUACCUUUACUGGAUUUCUGGGGUCAGCUAAGGUUAUUUAGUUCCCUAGUGUUGUAAUUUUUCCAGGUAUUCUUUUGGAUAAAUUCUUGUUGAAUGUCUUCUUUGGUAUGUUACGCCCAGCCGCUGUUAAUGAGCACUUAUUUA
rnacentral:lncRNA from 1 species